rnacentral:tRNA from 2 species
GCACACGUGGCCUAGUCUGGAUAUGGCAGCAGCCUCCUAAGCUGCAGGUCGGGGGUUCGAAUCCCUCCGUGUGCGCCA